rnacentral:rRNA from 1 species
UACGUAGGGAGCAAGCGUUGUCCGGAAUUACUGGGUGUAAAGGGAGUGUAGGCGGGACGGCAAGUCAGAUGUGAAAUCUAUGGGCUCAACCCAUAGCGUGCAUUUGAAACUGUUGUUCUUGAGUGAAGUAGAGGUAGACGGAAUUCCUAGUGUAGCGGUGAAAUGCGUAGAUAUUAGGAGGAACAUCAGUGGCGAAGGCGGUCUACUGGGCUGUUACUGACGCUGAGGCGCGAAAGCGUGGGGAGCAAACAGG